GGAAAAUCCGUCGACUUUAUAAGUUGUGAGGGNUCAAGUCCCUCUAUCCCC
rnacentral:tRNA from 1 species